rnacentral:sRNA from 1 species
AAUUUAUAAAUUGGAAAUCCAGACGCCUAAUCUAAAUUUUUAGAUAUUAUUAGAGAAUAAAUGAUCAACUGGAAAAAGUGCUGAUAAAUUUUUAGAUAUUACCGAAACAGAAAAUAUUUGUAAGAAGGAAAUGACAAAAAGAAACAAAUAAUAUGUCUAACGAUAAUUAGUGACGUAAGGAAAUAUCUUACCUACAUACAAAUAAAAGCAGUGCGCAAGUGGGUGACGUUGUUUUGCGGCUGAACUUGAAAUGUUAGGUGUAUGAUUACUUUUUUUUUUUUUCACUAAGUGUUGUCUUUCUUGUAUUAAGAACAUACCUUGUAUUAAGAACAUACAUCAAAAAGUACACUAGUUGACCUUCCACUUACAGGAUGAAGACAAACACUAUAACAAGAAAAAACAUGAUCUAACAAAACACAAUGUUGAUCAUGCCGAAAAUCAAAAAGUGAUGAGUAAACUGAAACAACAACAGCAGAUAAGAGAAGUCAUAACCAAAAAGAGUUCCACCGGCUCUACUUCCAUCUGCUACUUUUGCAAACCUUAGACCUGCAAACUUGUACCAUUGCAGUCCCUAUUAUUCAAACGUUUAAGUUGCCAACAAGGAUCCUCAGCAGCAACAAAAGCCAAAAAAUGACAGAAUUUGCAGAGUGUUUAACGCUUCUUAGGAGGUUUCAGAAUACCUCCUUCCUUAUGCUCCUCAACUCUAUGAGUUCUUCCUUCUUCAUCACUCCCAGGUCUUCCCAUAUUCUUCCUUUUUAUUGAGUCUCCCUUAUCCAAUUGAGUCCUUGAAGCUCCAAACUCUCCUUGUCAUGAACAUUCACCUACUUCAACCACUCGAGGAACAUUUGCACCAAAUGCAGGACCCGUAAACGGUUGUACAUUAGAGUUUCUUGACGCCUCUUGCCUGCGAGAUGGAGGAUUAAGAUUUAAUGUUCCUAUAUUUGGUAAAGAACCUGCUCUGCCUUCUGGAAAAUAAGCAGCCCUAAAUUCAUCAGGAUUCAAAGGAGGAGCUGCCACUCUUGGAGGAGGUUCAAUAGGUGCUGGAAAGGCGUUCUCAGACAUCUGUGAUUGGGAGUUCAGGGAAGAACGAUGAUAUUCAUCCCGGGUACACACUCCUUCUCUUCUAGACCUAGUGAGAUUGUUGGUAGGACCACGAAUGAUAGAACGAGGCUCAGGUUGUCGAUAAGGGCAGUAAUUCCUAUGAUGAGUCAGCCUGAAACAGCUACUGCAAAUUCGCCUUAGUCUUUCAUAUUGAAACCUUAUCAGCGCAGUCUCACCAGAAUCAAAGGUAAUUCUUUGGAAGAACCUUAUACGAUCAGUGAUCUCAAAUCGGAUUCUCACUCUAAUAAAAGCUAUUUGGGUUGUAGUAGCAUCAUGAAAAUCCAAUGAUAUAAUUUGCCCUAAACCAAGAGCUAUCUCUGUCACUGUGGCUUCACAAACAUAGAGGAGAGGAAUCCCACGCAUUUGAACCCACAACUCAAUGUUAGACAAGUAUUCAAAAGCCGAGUUUACCUCCCAACGAUGAGCCGUGACAAACCAACUAUUGUAAAGCCAGGGUUCCCUUCGUAGCACAGACAAGAGAUCCAGCUCUCCCGUGAACUCUAGAUGUCAGACCCCAAACCCUUGGCAAGGCAGCAACCACAACAUUAAGAUUUUGAGCUCUAGGAUUAAGAGGCCUUGCAAUCAGGCUAAGUCUAUUCCGUGAUUCAUUAGUUGCAUAAGCAACAUACGAAAUAAACAAAGGAGGAUCCUCUCUUCCUAACUCUAACUGUUGUAAUUCAUCCCACAACUCAUCAGCCAUAAUACCAGGAAAGGAGAAGCACAAGAGAAGAUGAGAUGAGACUCGACUUAUAAACCUAAGACAGAACUCGUAUAUAUAGCACAAACUAGUCUACCCAUAAGACCCGACUAAAGACAAAAGAGAAUAAAAAACCUAUCCUUAUAAGAAGAUAAUUAACAAAAGAAAAGGAAAAACAUAAUUGCUAAAAAGACCUCGAGAAAAUUUAAAU